rnacentral:rRNA from 1 species
GAGUUACGAUUUGAUGCAAGGUUAAGCAGUAAAUGUGGAGCCGUAGCGAAAGCGAGUCUGAAUAGGGCGUUUAGUAUUUGGUCGUAGACCCGAAACCAGGUGAUCUACCCUUGGUCAGGUUGAAGUUCAGGUAACACUGAAUGGAGGACCGAACCGACUUACGUUGAAAAGUGAGCGGAUGAACUGAGGGUAGCGGAGAAAUUCCAAUCGAACCUGGAGAUAGCUGGUUCUCUCCGAAAUAGCUUUAGGGCUAGCCUCAAGUGAUGAUUAUUGGAGGUAGAGCACUGUUUGGACGAGGGGCCCCUCUCGGGUUACCGAAUUCAGACAAACUCCGAAUGCCAAUUAAUUUAACUUGGGAGUCAGAACAUGGGUGAUAAGGUCCGUGUUCGAAAGGGAAACAGCCCAGACCACCAGCUAAGGUCCCAAAAUAUAUGUUAAGUGGAAAAGGAUGUGGCGUUGCCCAGACAACUAGGAUGUUGGCUUAGAAGCAGCCAUCAUUUAAAGAGUGCGUAAUAGCUCACUAGUCGAGUGACACUGCGCCGAAAAUGUACCGGGGCUAAACAUAUUACCGAAGCUGUGGAUUGUCCUUUGGACAAUGGUAGGAGAGCGUUCUAAGGGCGUUGAAGCAUGAUCGUAAGGACAUGUGGAGCGCUUAGAAGUGAGAAUGCCGGUGUGAGUAGCGAAAGACGGGUGAGAAUCCCGUCCACCGAUUGACUAAGGUUUCCAGAGGAAGGCUCGUCCGCUCUGGGUUAGUCGGGUCCUAA